AUCUGCCCCAGACCUUUACUGGCAGUCCAUGAGCUUGACUCCAACACUGGCAUCUUCUCAUCAACCUGUGGUGUGACCUCAUGAGGUGAAGCAGCCCGCUCUUUCUGGCAGCUUAUCCAACAUCUUGGGCCCCUGAGCAGCCACUCCUGAUGAAUGCUCUGCCAGGAAAGAUUUAGUGGCCUUGAUGUCAGAAAACCUGGCUUUCAAUUCAACUCCUCCAUCUACAUGCUCUAUUGUGACAAGUCAUCUCACCAAACUGGACUCUCAGUUUCCUCAUCUGCAUCAUGGGAAGGUGAAAAGGUCUCAUCUUUAUGGGUUGCUGGGAGGAUAAAAUAACAUAACAUAAAUAUAAAUAAACUGCUUGACAUAUAAUAAGUUUGUGUUCCCUUCUCUAAAACUAGGAUUCCAAGCCUUUAUUUCCAGAAUGGGAAAUAUGAACCAUACCACCUUCAAUGCUAUACAUGGGAAGACCAUGGCUCUGACAAUUCUGGCAGAGAACAAGCAGCACGCUAAAUGGAUUUUGGC